rnacentral:rRNA from 1 species
GAUGAACGCUGGCGGCGUGCCUAAUACAUGCAAGUCGAGCGAACGGACGAGAAGCUUGCUUUUCUGAUGUUAGCGGCGGACGGGUGAGUAACACGUGGAUAACCUACCUAUAAGACUGGGAUAACUUCGGGAAACCGGAGCUAAUACCGGAUAAUAUUUGAACCGCAUGGUUCAAAAGUGAAAGACGGUCUUGCUGUCACUUAUAGAUGGAUCCGCGCUGCAUUAGCUAGUUGGUAAGGUAACGGCUUACCAAGGCAACGAUGCAUAGCCGACCUGAGAGGGUGAUCGGCCACACUGGAACUGAGACACGGUCCAGACUCCUACGGGAGGCAGCAGUAGGGAAUCUUCCGCAAUGGGCGAAAGCCUGACGGAGCAACGCCGCGUGAGUGAUGAAGGUCUUCGGAUCGUAAAACUCUGUUAUUAGGGAAGGACAUAUGUGUAAGUAACUGUGCACAUCUUGACGGUACCUAAUCAGAAAGCCACGGCUAACUACGUG